rfam:Otolemur garnettii contig080587, whole genome shotgun sequence.
GGCCGCUUAGCUCAGUUGGUUAGAGUGUGGUGCUAGUAACACCAAGGUCGCGGGUUCGAUCCCCGUACAGGCCA